AACCGCAUGGUUCAGACAUAAAAGGUGGCUUCGGCUACCACUUACAGAUGGACCCGCGGCGCAUUAGCUAGUUGGUGAGGUAACGGCUCACCAAGGCGACGAUGCGUAGCCGACCUGAGAGGGUGAUCGGCCACACUGGGACUGAGACACGGCCCAGACUCCUACGGGAGGCAGCAGUAGGGAAUCUUCCGCAAUGGACGAAAGUCUGACGGAGCAACGCCGCGUGAGUGAUGAAGGUUUUCGGAUCGUAAAGCUCUGUUGUUAGGGAAGAACAAGUGCCGUUCAAAUAGGGCGGCACCUUGACGGUACCUAACCAGAAAGCCACGGCUAACUACGUGCCAGCAGCCGCGGUAAUACGUAGGUGGCAAGCGUUGUCCGGAAUUAUUGGGCGUAAAGGGCUCGCAGGCGGUUUCUUAAGUCUGAUGUGAAAGCCCCCGGCUCAACCGGGGAGGGUCAUUGGAAACUGGGGAACUUGAGUGCAGAAGAGGAGAGUGGAAUUCCACGUGUAGCGGUGAAAUGCGUAGAGAUGUGGAGGAACACCAGUGGCGAAGGCGACUCUCUGGUCUGUAACUGACGCUGAGGAGCGAAAGCGUGGGGAGCGAAACAGGAUUAGAUACCCUGGUAGUCCACGCCGUAAACGAUGAGUGCUAAGUGUUAGGGGGUUUCCGCCCCUUAGUGCUGCAGCUAACGCAUUAAGCACUCCGCCUGGGGAGUACGGUCGCAAGACUGAAACUCAAAGGAAUUGACGGGGGCCCGCACAAGCGGUGGAGCAUGUGGUUUAAUUCGAAGCAACGCGAAGAACCUUACCAGGUCUUGACAUCCUCUGACAAUCCUAGAGAUAGGACGUCCCCUUCGGGGGCAGAGUGACAGGUGGUGCAUGGUUGUCGUCAGCUCGUGUCGUGAGAUGUUGGGUUAAGUCCCGCAACGAGCGCAACCCUUGAUCUUAGUUGCCAGCAUUCAGUUGGGCACUCUAAGGUGACUGCCGGUGACAAACCGGAGGAAGGUGGGGAUGACGUCAAAUCAUCAUGCCCCUUAUGACCUGGGCUACACACGUGCUACAAUGGACAGAACAAAGGGCAGCGAAACCGCGAGGUUAAGCCAAUCCCACAAAUCUGUUCUCAGUUCGGAUCGCAGUCUGCAACUCGACUGCGUGAAGCUGGAAUCGCUAGUAAUCGCGGAUCAGCAUGCCG
rnacentral:rRNA from 1 species